rnacentral:tRNA from 1 species
AGGGGCGUAGCCAAGUGGUAAGGCACUGGAUUUUGAUUCCAGCAUUCGCAAGUUCGAGUCUUGCCGCCCCUACCA